GGCGCCACAGACACCUCUGUCAGUCAUUUGUAAAGAGGAGCAGCACGGCAGCUGGAUGAGUGCGGUCAGUUAAUUAAUGCUGCUUGCUUAAUUUCAUGUUACUGAUUAAGUGUUUAUACUUAACGUUAGAUGAGAUGUUGGUGUUUUAUUGCUCGCGAAUUUGCAAUAACUGCAUUUAUCAGGCAUCACACGUUACGUCACACGCUUAUGCUUGUAUCUGCGGUCCCUCGCGCUGUAUCCAUGAUUUAAAGCGGAAUAAAACUCUUAACUCCUUUGUAAGGAAAAAGUCAAACAGUAGCCCUUCAAAUUAAAAAUAGUGAUGGUGAUCUUGUCAAUGCUGAGAUUUUAAUGCAUCAACAGCCAUUACAUCUGUCUGGAUCAGGAUUGAACAAGAAUCCGACAGCAAGGGUUGUCAGAUCAGAAACGUAAUAACACAAACAUAAGAAACUUCACAGGGCUGUGACAGUGACAGUAUUUUACCACUGCGAUGGUAAUGCACCAAUUCACCACUGUGGUGCGGUGGUUAUAGAAUGUGUUUGUGUGAGGGGGGAGGCGGCAAUUUCUUUUUCCGCCGGUGGGUGCUCAUCACAACCUCAAGCUUUACUUCGCAAUGCCAGGUGCUCUAGAGCCUGGAGCGCUCAAAGGCUUUGAAGAGGUGGAAAGUGGCGCAGUCACGUUUUCGUGUGAAUUGUGAAGUUAAAGGCAGAUCACCGUGCAACUUGGUGAAGUCAUGUGUCUUUCCAGAUGGCCAAAUCUGUACCCCUCAAAAAAACUUUAUUAAAUGCCAUGAUAGACAAGAUGAGCCUUAAGAGGAGAUUUGGGAAGAUGCUGUUUCAUAAGUCUUUGCUUUGCCAGAUUAUUUGUGGUUGGGGUGUCUGCCAACGUGAUGCCUUGCUGGUCUGGUUUGAGUUUGAAGUCUCUUACAGACAGUCCAGAAGGUCUGGAGUCCAUCUUAGCUUUCAUUGAACCCUUUAAGGUGUAGAAACAUCAAGACCAAUAGGAGACACCUGAGCUAAAUUCCAGAUGCUGUCAUCAUUUUUUAAGUGCAUGAGCCAGAAUGGACGGGUGGUGGUGGCCAUAAGAAGACUGUCAACUAAACUAGGGUGACCAUAUGUGCCAUUCUUCCCGGACCCGUCCUGUCCAGUCUUUUGGAACUCGUAUUUGUCGACCGCAUACGUCA